GAGAUUGAAUACAUAGUUUCUCAUUUGUUAACGGAAUUCCAAAGCACACCAAGAUCAACAUUGCCUCCAGAAAUUACAAUGCCAAUAUUAUUGCAUUUACUAUAGGCUGGAUUUGUUUUAAAACUACUGGAAAGAACUGCUGCAAGGCCAAUAGCUCCACUUGGUUCCACUGCAAUCUUUAGAAUUUCAUAGCAAAGUCUCAUAGCUUGUAUUAUCUCUUCAUCAUCAACAACUAUGACGUCAUCCACGAGAUCACGGACGAUAGGCCAUGUAAGGUCUCCAAGAAAGGCUCGAAGCCCAUCGGCAAUAGUGUUGACCUCGGAUAACUUAGUGAUCCUGCCAUUGAUCUUCGACUGGAAAGCAUCAGCUGCUCCCAUUGGUUCGGCGGCAAAAAUGUGAAUGGAAGGAUUAAUGGCUUUGGCAGCCAACGCAACUCCCGAUAUCAGACCAC
rnacentral:misc_RNA from 1 species